rnacentral:rRNA from 1 species
UACGGGGGGAGCAAGCGUUGUUCGGAUUUACUGGGCGUAAAGGGCGCGUAGGCGGCGUAACAAGUCACUUGUGAAAUCUCCGGGCUUAACUCGGAGCGGCCAAGUGAUACUGUUGUGCUAGAGUGCGGAAGGGGCUACUGGAAUUCUCGGUGUAGCGGUGAAAUGCGUAGAUAUCUGGAGGAACACCGGUGGCGAAGGCGGCAUCCUGGACCAACACUGACACUGAGGAGCGAAAGCCAGGGGAGCAAACGGG